GAAUUCAUUCAAUCUUGACAAGUGAACCGUUUCUGUCCCCGGACUGAUAUCGAAUCAUUGAGGGCCAACUACAAGAAACCAAAACGGUCUUUCUAAGCAUUAUGGACUUUUUUUUCCUUUUUCUUUUUUGUACACAUCUUCUGCGAGCAGGAUAAGAAAGCGCUCGUCUGCCUUGAUGUGCAUGGAGAGAGGCACGUCGCAGGCCUGUGGUCGGUGUGGUGGGGGGCUCGUGAGUCUCUCCGAGGGGCUGGUUGGGGGAGCAGGCGAGAGGUGUGCAGGGAAGUGAGACGGGCUGGCUGACUUUUUUUGGAGUGUUCCAUCAACCUGCCAUGCAUGUUUUUGGAGAGGAAACCGGAAUACCCGAAAAAAAAAAAAAAAAAAACACGCGGGCGCGGGGACAUUCUGCAAACUCCACACAGGAAGGCCAAAGGCGGAAUCGAACCCUGCGCUCUGCGUUGUGAGGCAGACAUGCUAACCAGUCGUCCACCCGAUUAAUCUACGCUUAAACUCUAAUGCGGCGUUACGCAACAUUGUGAUUCAAAUUCAAAUCUGGCUUCCUGUACCUUCUUAUUUUCUGUCCAGGAGCUCCAACGCGUGCGUGACACCCGCUUUUGCUUAGUUAGAUGCAUCUGAAUAGCUCAAAUAUUCAAGUUUGUAUUUUACAGUCAUGUGAAACCAAAACAUUAAAUGCAUAAGUCUCUGUAUUAAAAUUGUGAUCAUUUUGAUGGGGGGUCGGGGGGUUCCUCAUGAUAAUUUCUUGAGAAAGUGAGUUCUGUUGUUUUUUUUUUUUUUUGUGAGGUGAAAGCUAUAAUGACCAAAGUAAGAACCAUGAAAAUGCGGGUGGUGGCCCUCUGUGGUUUCAGUUGCGGGACUGGUGUCAAAAAGUGUGAUGCCACUUUCCCACAGCCGACAGCUUCUUUAUCUCUCUCGAACACCAACACGCUACAGUUCUCGCACAUUUGCAACUUUCUUCCACUUUGCCUUGUGAUGAUGGUUUAUUUCAAGUCACGAUGGCACAGUUGGCAACUUGAUAUUUUGGAUUCAAAGAAA